rnacentral:rRNA from 1 species
CCUACGGGCGGCUGCAGUGGGGAAUAUUGGACAAUGGGCGAAAGCCUGAUCCAGCCAUGCCGCGUGUGUGAAGAAGGCCUUCGGGUUGUAAAGCACUUUCAGUGGGGAAGAAAGCCUUGGGGCUAAUACCCUCGAGGAAGGACAUCACCCACAGAAGAAGCACCGGCUAACUCCGUGCCAGCAGCCGCGGUAAUACGGAGGGUGCGAGCGUUAAUCGGAAUUACUGGGCGUAAAGCGCGCGUAGGCGGUCUGAUAAGCCGGUUGUGAAAGCCCCGGGCUCAACCUGGGAACGGCAUCCGGAACUGUCAGGCUAGAGUGUAGGAGAGGAAGGUAGAAUUCCCGGUGUAGCGGUGAAAUGCGUAGAGAUCGGGAGGAAUACCAGUGGCGAAGGCGGCCUUCUGGACUGACACUGACGCUGAGGUGCGAAAGCGUGGGUAGCAAACAGGAUUAGAUACCCGGGUAGUC